rnacentral:rRNA from 1 species
UUGGCUCAGAACGAACGCUGGCGGCAUGCCUAAUACAUGCAAGUCGAACGAGAUCUUCGGAUCUAGUGGCGCACGGGUGCGUAACGCGUGGGAAUCUGCCCUUGGGUUCGGAAUAACUUCUGGAAACGGAAGCUAAUACCGGAUGAUGACGUAAGUCCAAAGAUUUAUCGCCCAAGGAUGAGCCCGCGUAGGAUUAGCUAGUUGGUGGGGUAAAGGCCUCACCAAGGCGACGAUCCUAGCUGGUCUGAGAGGAUGAUCA